rnacentral:lncRNA from 1 species
GUUCCGCUACGUUUACGAGUAGCCACUCCCGACAACCGUAAUAAUUAACAUCGAAUAACAAAAAGUUACCUUACGAUCGAGGUAGGAAAAUGAAAACAGAAUUAGUGCUAGCUAACCAACGACUUAAGAAGGUCAAAUACAGACAAAUAUGUGUUGGAGAAAAAACGGCAGAUGUCAUACAUAAAAGAAUAGGAGAUAUUCAAUAAAUCUAUUUUGGAAUUGCAAUUACAAAGCAAGCUAAAUAUAUCUGUAAAGAUAUAAUAUACCUAAAAUGAACGUCUGCCGUACCUAGAGAAUUAUAAAAUAGAACCAAGCUUUUAAUAUCCCACAAAGACAACUUAUAUGGAAAAUGCACUAAGAAUAACAUCCCUAUUAAUUAUCCGGAAAGUAAAUCUUCCCCAAGAUGUGUAUACUCAUAGAGCCGCUUACCGUCUGAUAAACCGGCACGUCCAUAAGCCAACACUUGGAAUUAGAGCUGAAGGAAGUUCAUCUAGAUUGGAACAAAGAUAAGUGUACUUAAUUAAUGUUCUCAUUUAUAGACCGAAUUGUGUUCCGCAAUAUAUUAUAUAUUUAUUGGACAUUUGUUGUUAAGUACUAGAUUAUUUUUUUAACUUCCCUUAUCAUAUCUUACUAUCGGUUGUGUCUACAAAACAAAUAAUAUUUUGUCAAUUUUUCAUCUAAAUCUCAAUGCAUGUAAGGGAACAUAAGUACUUAUAGACCUAAAGCAUUGGUCUCUAUAGGGUUCAUUACAUAAUAACUUAGGUAUUGUGGUAGAUAAUAUACAAGUAUAUUAAUACGGUAUUAUGAAGAAUAUCAUCUGGUUCUGUUGACUAGCACUCACUAUUGUUUUUCUGUCUCUUGAUUGUUUGUAUCUGAAAGAAACGUAAACUCAUAGAAAUCAUUUAAUAGUCGGAAAAUUUUACGUUAUCUGCUUAUAUCUUGGCAUCCAAAAUUUUAACAUUACUCAUAUUCAUUAUUUAUAUUAUUAAUUAAAUUUUACUAUUAUAUAUUCAUCUUGCAAGCAAAUGUUUUACAUUAUUAUACAUUAUUUAUAUUUUUAGCUAGAAAUUUUACAAUAUAUAUAUAUACAUUAGUUACCAAAAUCUUACUUUACAUAAUAUAUCUAGAUAUUUUUUUUUACACAAUAAAAAUAAGGUAUACCUAUUGGGUUUGUAUCAUUUCACCUGCACCUGAUAUAUCUCAAUUAUAUGGGUUCAUAUAAUAUUUUAUUUCAGGAUUAAGUUAUUUGGAUUGUUUAUAUCUUUCUCCUUAUUUCUCUCUCUCUCUCUCUCUCUCUCUUUUCUAGUCUCCCACACUGUUCUAUCAACGAAGUAAAGGCUCUAAAAGGCAUUUACUUCUGGCGCCCAUCUUUGGUUUAUUGAUCAUAGGUCAGUUCUUUUCUUUUAAGUAUUUCAUUACUUUUUAAUUUUUCUGGUUCUUCCUUUAUCACUAUCUCUUUCUCCCCUAAACAACAGCACGAAAAUAAGCCGAUCUCCACUUCCUGAGCUUGUACGUCUCAUCCUCAUCCUCAUAAUUAAUUUGUUAUCUUCAUUCUAAUUUUAACUUGUUAAGCCGUUUCUCACUACCCCUUUCUUUCAUCAAUCAAAUUUUAGUACCAAAAAAAAAUAUAACCCUACUAUAAGGGAUACAAAGUGGCGAGCCCAUCGUGGAGCCGUUGUUUUCAUUUAGGUGGUGAUUUAGUGUUAGUUACACUACACUCCCUUAUUCAAUUUGGUUAUUGCGAAUUAUCACUUACAGUUUGUUGUUGUUUUGGAAAAAAAAA